UACGUAGGGUCGCAAGCGUUGUCCGGAAUUAUUGGGCGUAAAGAGCUCGUAGGCGGUCUGUUACGUCCGCUGUGAAAACCCAGGGCUUAACCCUGGGCUUGCAGUGGAUACGGGUAGACUAGAGGCAGGUAGGGGAGAAUGGAAUUCCCGGUGUAGCGGUGAAAUGCGCAGAUAUCGGGAGGAACACCGGUGGCGAAGGCGGUUCUCUGGGCCUGACCUGACGCUGAGGAGCGAAAGCGUGGGGAGCGAACAGG
rnacentral:rRNA from 1 species